UGCUGAGGUUUCAGUGAGUUUUCAAGUUCCUCAGCAUUUUCAAAAACCAAGAGAGCAGAGUCCCUCUUCUGAAGAGCCCUUUGUGGAGCUGCUGACCUGCUCCUGCGGGACCAUUCCUGGCUUUGCCGGAGCUGUGGGGAUCCAGGAGUUGCAUGUCCCAGGCAAUGAGUGGGAACUGCUUCCACCUUGAUGCAACUGCCAUAGAACAUGAGUUUGUGUCAAUGCCGUAAAUCUCUUUUAUUAGCUCAGCUGCCAUUUCUAACACUUCCACUUCUGAUUUAUGUUGGUGAAGCGCAACAGCUGCAGUAGCUCCUCGCUAGAGGAGUUACUGUUGUACCUCUGGUAGUCUCCAGCCUUUCCACCCAGGGCUGUGUCCUCCCUCCUUGUUAGGGUUUUUCACACACGGCCUGACUCUUGCUUGUGUUUCAGAGUGACCCCAGGAGAACCGCCGACGUGAGGGAACAGCAGCAGUUGUGGAAGGGCUCUGCUUUUCUCACCUUGGCCUCCCUGCCGCGGGGAGGCUGCUGGGGUACACUGGUGAUAGUGAGUGGUCAGCCCCCAAGUAGGACUGAGCUCUCACAUUCUUGUUGCGAGUAGGCCCGGUUGUCCUGGAGGUGAAGGAGAGCUGUGGUGUGUGAGCCAUGCUUUGGGUGAGAAAAUGAAGAAAAAGGUCUUUGCCAUUCUAUAGACUAAACUGUUUUUCUGGUAUCAGUAUGUUAACUGGGAAUUGCCAGCGAACAAACCUUUAUCAACACCUAGAGAUUAGCUGCAAUUUAGACCAGGGGAACAAAUAACAGUAAUAACAAUAAUAAUUCUUCCUUGUGUUAGUGCAAGGUAUGUAAUCCAAGGAAAUGGUUUAAUAGUAUGCACAGCAUGGUUAGGAGCCUCAUCUCUAUCAGGAAUUGUUCGUGUGACCAAAGUGACAGAGCUUUUGCAGUGUGGAUUAGCCCUCUGCUUUCUGGCUUUGCCUUGGUCCCAGGUUAGCCGGUUCCACGGGCCACUUUUAACUGGAAACAUUCAAACUGCAUUCCUGGCUGGAGCGGCAUUUUUAGUGGAGCGUGACUAUAAAAUUACAGCAAUAUAUGUUCUUGCGUGUUUUGUUUUCCUUAGAGAAAGGGGUUCAAACUGCAACUGUUAUGAGUGCGUUUUUAAAGCCCCUGCAGGUGAGGUGUUCUGUAGAGGAGGAAGGUCGAAGUGAAAUAGCAUUGAUACUAUGUUCGCAUUGCUGUGUAAUGUCUAAAUGGUGACUUUGAGCUCAUGAGAUACUUAAUAAACAGCUAUAACUAAAUAGGGAGUUUGUUGGCAUUAACUCAAACUUGGUUAGGAAAGUGUUAAGGAGUAUUUGGGGGGCAAUAGAAUUGGUGGUUACCAUCAUUUAAUAGUCAUAUUUCACGAGUUUGGAAAAUGUAUUUCGUGAACGGCUGGAGCUUGAAGACUGACAUAACUGCAAUGCCUUCAGCAGCUAAAAUAGAGUGAAGGAGAAAACAUGCUUGUCCUUGUUUUAAGUUUGUUUAAUAAAGUUUGUUUGAAGAACCAGAAAUGGGGGUGGCUGUCAUGCCGUGUGUGCGAGCACAGGGGACUUUCUGUCCUGUUUCCCUGUGUGACUGGGUCUGUCCAGCUCCUGCUGUGUCAAAAACUGAGGAGGACCCCACACUGUUGGCAUUGCUUGGUUUUCCGAGAUCCAGCCACCUGGGGUUUGUGUGGUACAGGAACACAGGUGACUUCAAGAAGUAUGUCACUGCAGGCACAUGGGGGAUUGGGAGAGGCAGGCUACCUCAUACAGUAUUGAGCUAUGGCAAAGUCAUUUUCUAAGGCUGACAGAUCUUUGCUUUCCUGCUGGUUGUAAAGAAUUACAGUCCCUUAAAAAUCCUUUUCUCAGCUGGGGCUGUAGACAUUUCCAGACACUUUCCCUCUCCUGGAUAGCUAACACAGACAGUUAAGCUUUCUUCCCGCCAGACAACCAAUGCUUUGGGCAGUGGUUUUGUUUUCUAAACCCCGUACAUGUCACUUACUGUAUGUGGCUACUUCAGAUUCUGCAUUUCUUUUUGGUAGUUGCCACGCUAGUAUCAUAAACCCGUCUGUACACCAGGCAGGGGGGUUGGAACUAGAUGAUCUUAAGGUCCUUUCGAACCCAAACCAUUCUAUGAUAAUGAGACUCUUGGCAGAUGUUACAUGCCGUCCGGUGAGGAAGGUGAGUACACCACACAUCGGUAGUUUCCACCCUGUAGACUUUCGUUGGACAGAAUCUUGAUGGUCCAGGGAGAGUGACUGAGAAAACUGAGCUGGCAAACCCAAUGCAGUUUCCAGAUUGGUCUGCGCAUGAAGGGCCCAUAAACCAGGAAAGGUUCACCGCAACUGUUACCAGGACCAAGGACAUCCAUCUGUGUCUCCUCUUAAUGUCUGGUACACUCCUUUAUCAGUAAAUAAACUCAUGUAGAUGGGCACAAACAGUCUGGCUUUUCCCCUCCUUUCGAAACUGAGCUGAAGUUUGUUCAGUUCCUAGGACGGGGAAGGACAGACCCUUUCUGACAUGUUUUAGUGGUUUUGUUUCAGGCCGGCGCUUGCAGUUGGCGUGUGCCGGCUGGAUUGAACACACGUUAUUUUUGCAGAGAGCUCUAGGGAGGUGUCAUGUACAUGCUGGUGCUCAUCCAGCCAGCAGAGCUGAUGUGCUGAACAGGGACAGGCUCUGCAGCCAGGAGAGCUUCCCCCACAGUAUGGGGCUGGAAGUCAGUAGUCCUGGCUCCAAGUGCUCUGCUGUUUUACAAGUAGUCCCACAAGCACUUCCGAACAGAUCUGCCAAAAAUCAUCUGUAAGUUGUCCUUUACCUCAUCUGAUGGAAAAAACACAGGUAGAAGCAGUCUGCACAGUUGGGAUCCUUACAAAGGAUAGUCUGAUGAGGUCCCAUAUGAACAGAAUUUCACCAGGCAGUCUUCAUGUUGUUAAAAAGGUUAAAAUUUUGGAGUUCUGGAUAUACCAGGAUUCCUCUCUGUUUUUCCUUGUAUAUAUAUUCUGUAUUUACUGCUACGGCAUCUUUCUUUUUUCUUUCCCCAGGUGACCCUUACUGGUUAGAAUAGACUCAUUCCGGUGAAGACGCAGACUGUGCAAACCGUGUGGUGACAGAGACGGUUCUUUUCAGUUACACUGUGAAGGCGCGCGGUGGACGGGGCAGGUGAAAGGUGUUUGACCGGUAACACUUAAAUACAGUCCCAAGACAGAACAUCUGAGGUAACCACACCGACACUUUCUGCUUUUGAAGAGCAUCCAGGAGUCCUCAAACGACUUCGUUAAAACCACUUUUCCCGAUGGAUGCAGUUGGCCUGUAAAUUUACAUUUUAGCAAUUCAGCCGAACUACUGAAACACUAAAUGUGAGAUGGGAAGUUGAUGUUCUGAAAUGUUAACACUCAAAUGGGGGGAAAAACAUCCCUAUUUGUCUAAAGGAGUGAAAAAUGUUUGCUAGGAAAAUUACAAUUCACAUGUAACCUAAUUGUUACUGGAAUCAAGUGGUGCUUGGUAAGUUUUUCUGCUGCAUGAAGGAUGUAAUGUACUGUUUGUGCAGUGACCCUGGGUGAGUCAGGAGAUGGGCGCUGAGGAGCUGCUCUGCGCUGCACCCCAACACCCUGUCACCAGGCUGUUGUGCUGACCAGUUCACUUCGGUGAGUUGGGCUGAGGGGUCUGACCUUCUCAGCAGUGCAGGGAAGUGGUGGGUGACCUGUUCCAGAACCAACAUCUCCGGGGGUGACCUGUUCUGGUGCUCAAGAGAAAGUCUGCUCCUAAGAGGAGCUGAUGCGCCUUAAGAGGUUCCCAUGGCUCUGGUAACAUCAUUUACAGCAAAGGGAUGGGUUUGUAGUCAGAUGUUCUUCCUAGCUCUGCCUGACUUUAUUCUCUUCCCCAUCAUGCAUGUGUUUGACGUAUUCAUCAGUCUAGUAUCACAUUCAGAAAUGCUCUUUUCAGGUGGAGAUAGAACAGUAAGCUACUGCAAAGGUGGUUGCACUUCUAGCCUGAAUUUAGUGAUCAUGGCUUGUUAAUGAUGUUUCAAGAGCUUUUAACAAACUUAGGUUCUGUUGCUGAAGCAAUACACUGUGGACUAACCUGAUUUUGAAAGGGGAGAUAAAAGAGCAGUUGUGUAGUAAUUCCUGAAAACAUGUUUAGAAAGAGAAGUUGCUGGGGAAAAAAGUCCCUUCAUCCUCUCAUGAGUGAUAACAUCCUGGAGAUGGCAAUCUGCAGACCUGUAAACUGGGAACAGAUUAAAAAAAACCCUUGACAACGUC